ACGAACGCUGGCGGCGUGCUUAACACAUGCAAGUCGAACGGUGAAGGGACCGGUUUUUGCUGGUUCUGGAUGAGUGGCGAACGGGUGAGUAACACGUGAGUAACCUGCCCCCUUCUUCUGGAUAACCGCAUGAAAGUGUGGCUAAUACGGGAUAUUCUGCGCCUGCUGCAUGGUGGGUGUGGGAAAGAUAUUGUUUCGGUGGGGGAUGGGCUCGCGGCCUAUCAGCUUGUUGGUGGGGUGAUGGCCUACCAAGGCGGUGACGGGUAGCCGGCCUGAGAGGGUGGACGGUCACACUGGGACUGAGACACGGCCCAGACUCCUACGGGAGGCAGCAGUGGGGAAUAUUGCACAAUGGGCGCAAGCCUGAUGCAGCGACGCCGCGUGAGGGAUGGAGGCCUUCGGGUUGUAAACCUCUUUCGCCAGUGAAGCAGGCCUGUCCCUUUUGUGGGUGGGUUGACGGUAGCUGGAGAAGAAGCGCCGGCUAACUACGUG
rnacentral:rRNA from 1 species